rnacentral:rRNA from 1 species
AGAGUUUGAUCCUGGCUCAGAAUCAACGCUGGCGGCGUGCCUAACACAUGCAAGUCGAACGCGACUUGGGCCUUCGGGUCCAAGUUGAGUGGCGAACGGGUGAGUAACACGUGGAUGAUCUACCUUUGAGUGGGGGAUAACGUUCCGAAAGGAACGCUAAUACCGCAUGACGUUCUGGGUUUGAAGACCUGGAACCCAAAGCCGGGGACCGCAAGCCUGGCGCUUUGAAGAGGAGUCCGCGUCCGAUUAGCUAGUUGGCGGGUUAACGGCCCCACCA